rnacentral:rRNA from 1 species
UACGUAGGUGGCAAGCGUUGUCCGGAUUUAUUGGGUUUAAAGGGUGCGUAGGCGGCCCUGUAAGUCAGUGCUGAAAUAUCCCGGCUUAACCGGGAGGGUGGCAUUGAUACUGCGGGGCUAGAGUACAGAUGAGGUAGGCGGAAUUGACGGUGUAGCGGUGAAAUGCUUAGAUAUCGUCAAGAACACCUAUAGCGAAGGCAGCUACUAGGCUGUAACUGACGCUGAGGCGCGAAAGCCAGGGGAGCAAACGGG